AUGGACACUCGGUGUCGUCUCCUGCGCUUAGGAAACACGCACAAUGUACGUCCUUUGGAUCGGCACUGCUGUCAUACUCUGCGAUGCUUGUGGUGGAGUUCUUACCCCACACUGUCCCGACCAUCCGGAACCCGAGGGAUGGUCCAGAGUCGAUCCGUACUCGAGUCCGCUCUAUAUGGAUGUGGCACAGUUCGCAGCUUCUCGGCAAACCGGUGAAGCUGGACGCACGAAGUACUAUGAUGCCGUGUUACAAGUGGAGGAAGUAUGGACGCAGGAUACUGCGUAUGGAUGCAUGGCCCACAAGGUCAAGUUCUCCGCUGCACAGUCAACCUGCAAAAUAGGCGAGAAAUACGUAGCAGCAAGAUGCCCUCCGAAACGCCAUCGUGACGGUCUUAAGCUCAGGCAUUGCGCAGCCACAGUUCUAACGCAGUGGGUCUCUGGGAAGCGAAAAGUUGUGCAAUACAGAUGUAAGGAUUUGUAAUAAACAGUGGUAGGCAUUUCA